rnacentral:tRNA from 1 species
GCGGAAGUGGCGGAAUUGGUAGACGCACCAGAUUUAGGUUCUGGCGCCGCGAGGCGUAAGAGUUCAAGUCUCUUCUUCCGCACCA